rnacentral:rRNA from 1 species
AUGUUGCAUUUGUUGAGGUUCAUCAUCAAUGAUCGCACUUUCUUGUUCUUGCUCUUGAUGAUGAUCUUGUUCUUGAAUAUGAUCAUGGUGAGGGACUUGUUCUUCUUCUUGUUCUUGAACAACGGGCUUCGCUUGAGCAAUAGGAUCUUGUGGUGGCAUGGGUGUUGUAGUGGCUUGAUGAUGAGUGAAACCUCCAUCUUCUUCUUCAUCAUCAUGAGGUUCUUGUUCCAUUGGAACAAGAGCACCAACACCCAUGGUCAAAAUAUAUUGAGAAGGAUCUUCUUCACCAACCUCACUUAG